UGGGGAAUUUUGGACAAUGGGCGAAAGCCUGAUCCAGCCAUGCCGCGUGAGUGAAGAAGGCCUUCGGGUUGUAAAGCUCUUUUAGUCGGAAAGAAAGAGUUGCAAUGAAUAAUUGUGAUUUAUGACGGUACCGACAGAAAAAGCACCGGCUAACUACGUGCCAGCAGCCGCGGUAAUACGUAGGGUGCGAGCGUUAAUCGGAAUUACUGGGCGUAAAGGGUGCGCAGGCGGUCUUGUAAGUCAGAUGUGAAAUCCCCGGGCUUAACCUGGGAAUUGCGUUUGAAACUAUAAGACUAGAGUGCAAGAGAGGGGAGUGGAAUUCCAUGUGUAGCAGUGAAAUGCGUAGAGAUGUGGAAGAACACCGAUGGCGAAGGCAGCUCCCUGGAUUGACACUGACGCUCAUGCACGAAAGCGUGGGGAGCAAACA
rnacentral:rRNA from 1 species